UAGCUAGCCUGUCUCUCUAUCUUCGACAACUCUUCCUUGGCCUUUCUCUCGACAACUUGUAAUAUUCAACAAAACCAUUCCUCUACAAACCGCGACCCCGACCAUGACUAUCACUCUUCGACAAACCCCGACCCCGACCGCAACCAUCACUCUUCGACAAUGCUAAGAUUAGAACCAACUCUGUUUCAAGGGUUCUUCAAAUCGCUUCCCUUCCCGUCCCAUCGCUUCAGGGUUAUUCCCUUCCCAUUGCUGUAGGGUUCUUCAGAUCUAUUGGCGGUGGUGAUUGUCGCUUUAUUUGGUUGCUUGUGGCUUCGAUUGGCUUCGGCGGUGGUGUUGGCUUCGAUUCGGCAGUGGUUGUAGCUUUGGAGGCGGUGGUUGGUCUCGUGAGAGGUUGAAAUUGAGUUCUGGCGACUGUAGAUCUGAAUCGAACUCUCAAAUCAAUUUUGUUCUGAGGCAGCAUAGGUACCUUUCCUUCAACAACGACGAGGCCAGAUCCCCAUUCAUUCUUUGCUGAAUUCGAAAUCCCCAAUUUUCAACCUCAACCCCCAAACCAUGGUCUUAUUCAAGAAAGCUCAGGUAUCCCAUCACAGGUCAUGCACUAAACUUGGAGUUAUGACAGCUUCUCAGCGCAAUAUAAGGCCCAAUAUGUUGAUUGGGGGAUAUAGGCAUAAUUGGGACCUGGUGUGGGAUGCAACUGCAGCUGAUCCUAAAUUGCUGGUCUUUUUGAAAUCGUACAGGAAUUUCUUACACACUGAAUCUGACACAGAGAAGUUCUAUAUUGAAGUCCAGGAAAUUAUACUUGCUAGGUACAAUAAAACUUUUGAUUGGGCUUUGAAAGCAAAAAUGAUGCUGGAAAAGAAAGCAAUAGAAGCUGCUCGGGUCUUUGUUGAAGACACUGGACUUAGUGACUCUCUUACUGGCUACUGCUGAGGACUUUCUGGUUGAAAGAGAGGCAAUGUUGCAGAAAUUGUUUCCAACAAACGAGCUGAUGCCAGGUGUGGGAUGCAACUGCAGCUGAUCCUAAAUUGCUGGUCUUUUUGAAAUCGUACAGGAAUUUCUUACACAUUGAAUCUGGGAGAAGUGGAAACCUAUCUUUAAAAAGCACAUUUCUGGCCAAGUUUGUCGUGGUGGUUUUGUUCUAAAAACAAUGAUCUAGGUUUGAAGGCUGCUUAUAAACUGGACAAUCAUGUGGAAGAUGGAGCAGUGACGAAAGCUUUUGAAGUGAUAGAGAGAAAUUUGUUUAGGUAGAAGUUGUACUGAGGCUAGAAGUUGGUCUUUUUUGGGUUGGCCUUAAUUGCAGUUCGCCUUAUUUUGUGAUCCCUUAUUUUGUGGAUACAUCGGAUCCAUUUAGAAUGCUAUGGGAUUAUAACAGCUUUCUAUUAUGAUUAAAUUACCAUUCUUUUGGUCA